ensembl:lncRNA
GUUUUUCACCCUUCAUUUUUGCCUUUUCGUAGGCCCAUCAGAGGGAUAUUUCCCAGGUUUGCUUGCAUAAGGUAAGAAUGAAUUAAUGUAAAUUGUUACCUGCGACAGGUGUUGCAUACUCUUUAUUUUUACUUCUUUGUUUAAAUCUAGGUCAGAGGAUGGUGGGUUGUUUUUUAUUUAUUUAUUUUGAGAAAAUAAAGUUUUCCAUUUAACACACAUCUACCAGGUGACUGUUGUUUUUAAUGUUUUUAGCAGGAAAACUACAUUCCCAUGCCCUUUAUUUGUAACCUAUCCUUGUUUUGUGCAAAUAUGUCCCUGAAACUCUUUUAGGUUGGCCAUUUUGCUGUUGUGGGAGGAGCAUCAGUUGAGGCAUGGACUGUAGUCUAACCAAUGAGCCGCCUCUCAGAUGAGUUGGGCAGCAGGAGACUGAAAGAUGAGCCUGAACAAAAAUCUCCAUUUAGAGGCACCAGGUGUGCAUGUUUGAUGCCUUACAACAAUAACAACAUGAAAGCUGAGAAAGAGGAGUCCUCAGAGAUCAUCUUUGCUGUGACGGUGCAAAAACGGCAUGGUUGUGCCCCUGAACAGCUUGAGGCAUUGCCUUGUGCUGGAAAGCCCUGAGAUCAUCAGACUAUCUGUUUAAUAAGCAGUAAGGACGUCCUUUUUGAAUCAGGAAAGUAGCUUCAAGUGCUGAACAGCAAACUGUGAUAAUGUGUCAGUCUGUUGUACUUUGGUGUUUCUGCCUUUGUUGGUGAGUCUAUUUGCAUUUACUUCCACUUUACAGAUCCAGUUUGUGUUUGUUGUCAGUUUAACCAGAUCUUCUGGCAUUUGCUUAAAUUCGGAAUGAAUUAUUCCAUGUAAUUAAGUCAUUUUGUCAUCCAUUUUAUCAUAUUCUGUGCCCAUGUUGUAUUUUAAGCUCUGUCUCCCGGUUUCACAGACAGGGCUUAAGCCUAGUCCCAGACUAAAAUGCAUGUUUGAGCUGUCUUAACUGAAAAUAACUUGCUCUGACAGAUCUUAAAAUGUGUCUGUCAUUGUUUUGUCUCAAGAUGCACACCAGUAUUGUGUUUUUCCUCAGGCAUUUUUUAUAAAAAACUUUAAAUAUCCUAAUUUUACUAGGUCUAAUCCUUUAUUAAUAGUUCAUCCCUGUCUGUGAAUCAGGGCCUAUAUCUAUUGAGGGCACCACAAUUUUUUUGUUUGUUUGUUUUUGUUUUGUUUUAAAUAAAAUAAUCACUUGUUUUACUCA